rnacentral:rRNA from 1 species
AGGGUUUGAUUAUGGCUCAGAUUGAACGCUGGCGGCAUGCCUUACACAUGCAAGUCGAACGGCAGCACGGGGGCAACCCUGGUGGCGAGUGGCGAACGGGUGAGUAAUACAUCGGAACGUGUCCUGUAGUGGGGGAUAGCCCGGCGAAAGCCGGAUUAAUACCGCAUACGCUCUGCGGAGGAAAGCGGGGGCUCCUUCGGGACCUCGCGCUACAGGGGCGGCCGAUGGCAGAUUAGCUAGUUGGUGGGGUAAAGGCCUACCAAGGCGACGAUCUGUAGCUGGUCUGAGAGAACGACCAGCCACACUGGGACUGAGACACGGCCCAGACUCCUACGGGAGGCAGCAGUGGGGAAUUUUGGACAAUGGGCGCAAGCCUGAUCCAGCAAUGCCGCGUGUGUGAAGAAGGCCUUCGGGUUGUAAAGCACUUUUGUCCGGAAAGAAAACCUCAGCCCUAAUACGGCGGGGGGAUGACGGUACCGGAAGAAUAAGCACCGGCUAACUACGUGCCAGCAGCCGCGGUAAUACGUAAGGUGCAAGCGUUAAUCGGAAUUACUGGGCGUAAAGCGUGCGCAGGCGGUCCGCUAAGACAGAUGUGAAAUCCCCGGGCUUAACCUGGGAACUGCAUUUGUGACUGGCGGGCUAGAGUAUGGCAGAGGGGGGUAGAAUUCCACGUGUAGCAGUGAAAUGCGUAGAGAUGUGGAGGAAUACCGAUGGCGAAGGCAGCCCCCUGGGCCAAUACUGACGCUCAUGCACGAAAGCGUGGGGAGCAAACAGGAUUAGAUACCCUGGUAGUCCACGCCCUAAACGAUGUCAACUAGUUGUCGGGCCUUCAUUGGCUUGGUAACGUAGCUAACGCGUGAAGUUGACCGCCUGGGGAGUACGGUCGCAAGAUUAAAACUCAAAGGAAUUGACGGGGACCCGCACAAGCGGUGGAUGAUGUGGAUUAAUUCG